GCACUGGUGGUUUAGUGGUAAAAUUGGACAUUGCCAAGUUGUUCAAACUCGACGUUGUCUAGCCCCGGGUUCGAUUCCCGGCCAGUGCA
rnacentral:tRNA from 1 species